UUGACAGCCCUAGAGACUAAAAUCCUCCAUUAGUCCACAGGGCAAGUACAGUUUGGGCAGUGUCAGAGCAAGCUUCCUCCAUCAAUGUACCUAAAUACUUCCUUAGAAGGACCACUAGGAGUAAUUCAUUUUCUCUCUCCAUUGUUUGAUUUGAACAA
rnacentral:sRNA from 1 species